CUGGAGCAUAGAAUAACUAUUGGACCACUGAGACAACAGCGGAUUACUGAUCAAGCCUAUAAUAUUAUCUGCUGAAGGGUUGUAUCUUAUUAUCACCACUGGACUCUUUCCGAAAUGGAGGGAAAAGCUUUUAUUAUAAUGUGCAUUUUUAUUGCAACAGUCCACGCGCAAAGUUCAACAACUCAGUCCACAGUAGAUUCAACAACCGACACCUCUGCAACACCCACAGCUACAAUGACGUCUUCAACAACCACUACAACUCUUGCUGAAUCAUCCACUACUACUGCAGGAGUUACCACGACAGCACCACAAACUACUUUUACAACAGCUGAAUCCUCCACAACAGCUACAACAACAGCAGAUCCUUCAACAACCACUACAACUAUUGCUGAAACAUCCACUACUACUGCAGGAGUUACCACGAUACCACCACAAUCUACUGUUACAACAGCAGAAUCCUCCACAACAGCUACAACAACAGCAGUUCCUUCAACAACCACUACAACUCUAACUGAAGCAUCCACUACUACUGCAGGAACAACCACAACAGCCCCACAAACUACUGUUACAACAGCAGAAUCCUCCACAACAGCAACAACAACAGCAGUGCCCUCAACAACCACUACAACUCUUGCUGAAUCAUCCACCACUACUCCAGGAGUUACCACAACAGCACCACAAACUACUGUUGCAACAGCAGAAUCCUCCACAACAGAUACAACAACAGCAGUGCCCUCAACAAUCACUACAGCUCUUGCUGAAUCAUCCACCACUAUUGCAGGAGUUACCACGACAGCACUACAAACUACUGUUACAACAGUUGAAUCCUCCACAACAGCAACAACAACAACAGUUCCCUCAACAACAAUUACAACUCUUGAUAAAUCAUCCACGACUACUGCAGGAGUUACCACAACAGCCCCACAAACUACUGUUACAACAGUAGAAUCCUCCACAACAUCUACAACAACAACAACAGUGCCCUCAACAACCAUUACAACUGUUGCUGAAUCAUCCACGACUACUGCAGGAGUUUCCACGACAGCACUACAAACUACUGUUACAACAGCAGAAUCCUCCACAACAGCUACAACAACAGCAGUUCCUUCAACAACCAUUACAACUCUUACUGAGGCAUCCACUACUACUGCAGGAGUUACCACAACAGCACCACAAACUACUGUUACAACAGCAGAAUCCUCCACAACAUCUACAACAACAACAACAGUGCCCUCAACAACCAUUACAACUGUUGCUGAAUCAUCGACCACUACUGCAGGAGUUACCACAACAGCACCACAAACUACUGUUACAACAGCAGAAUCCUCCACAACAGCUACAACAACAGCAGUUCCUUCAACAACCAUUACAACUCUUACUGAGGCAUCCACUACUACUGCAGGAGUUACCACAACAGCACCACAAGCUACUGUUACAACAGCAGAAUCCUCCACAACAGCUAGAACAACAGCAGCAACAUCUGAAACACCAGCAACUUCAUCGCCAACAGGUUCAGCCACAGUCUUUACAUCAAUUAUUGGUACAUCCACCAGUGGUACAGCAAUAACCACAAAAGUGACACAAUCUAAAGUUACUACAGAGUCUACAGCAUCUAACACUUCUACAGAACCUGCAGUGUCUACAGCUGCUAUAGCUUCUACUGUAUCUACAGCUUCAACAGCAUCUACAGCAUCAACAGCAUCUACAACCUCUACAGCAUCUACAGCCUCUACAACAUCUACAACCUCUACAGCAUCUACAACCUCUACAGCAUCUACAACCUCCAAAGCAACUACUGCAAAAAUAAUACCUGAAGUGCUAACAGAUCUAGUGUUUAGCUCUUUUGAGACAUUUAUAGAUGCACUCAGUGAUGUCAACAGUGAGGAGUUUAAGAUUAGGUCUAAACUUGUCAAGGAUGAGCUUGAGCCUGUCUACAAAAUCAAGUAUUCUAACUUCCUCAGAUUGAAUGUCCUAAGAUUCAGAUCAGGGUCAAUCAUCACAUCAACACAACUAGCUUUCAGCUUCAACCAAACUAUCCCAUCUGUUCAAGAGAUUUCAAACACCCUCUUGGAAGCAGUGGGAACAGGGGAUGUCAAUCCAUUAAAGAUAAUCCCUGAAUCAAUUUCAGUCAAUGGUUCAGCUACAACUGUUGCUCCUGCAACAACUACAACAACCACCACCACAGCAACUACAGUUUCAGGCGGAUUAAAGAUUGAAUCCAGUCUGUUCCAAGCAAUAUGCCUCAUUAUUAUGUCUAAAAUAUUAAGCUUUUUCCUAUAGAUCCCUUAAACAUAUCAACCAAACAUGAGAGUUCAACAAGACACACUGUAACAAAUUAAUUAAACACAAAAUGUAUUUAUUAUUAUUAUUAUUAAAUGUAUAGUAUUUCUCAUUGUAGCACAUUCUCAAAUACUAGUAUUGAGCAACAUAAAGAUAACUUUGAUAAUGCAUUUUUGCUGAAGAAUAUAACAGUAGAUAUCUGUUUAACAGCAGGCUGUUUUCUGGGAGGGAGAAGUAGAUCUUUUUCC
ensembl:lncRNA